AGGAUAAACGCUGGCGGCGUGCCUAACACAUGCAAGUCGAACGCGCUUUCGGGCUUCGGUGCGAGAGCGAGUGGCGGACGGGUGAGUAACACAUGGGUACCUACCUUGGAGUGAGGGAUACCGGCGAGAAAUCGCCGACAAUACCGCAUAGGCUUCUUCACAAGGGAAGCAAAGUGACGCGAGUCACGCUUUGAGAUGGGCCUGUGGCCGAUUAGCUAGUUGGGGGGUAACGGCUUCCCAAGGCGACGAUCGGUAGCUGGUCUGAGAGGACGAUCAGCCACACUGGGAUUGAGAACGGCCCAGACUCCUACGGGGGGCAGCAGUGAGGAAUUUUCCGCAAUGGAGGCAACUCUGACGGAGCAACGCCGCGUGCAGGAGGAAGGUUUUCGGAUCGUAAACUGCUUUUCUCGGGGACGAGCAAGGACGGUACCCGAGGAAGAAGCCCCGGACUAACUACGUGCCAGCAGCCGCGGU
rnacentral:rRNA from 1 species